UACGGAGGGUGCAAGUGUUGUUCGGAUUUAUUGGGUUUAAAGGGUGCGUAGGCGGCCAAUUAAGUCAGUGGUGAAAGUUUCUGGCUCAACCGGGAGACUGCCAUUGAUACUGAUUGGCUUGAGUUAUGGAGGGGUACAUGGAAUUUACGGUGUAGUGGUGAAAUGCAUAGAUAUCGUAAGGAACACUGAUAGCGAAGGUA
rnacentral:rRNA from 1 species